CGAGAGAUAUAGCAACCCCAGGUGUUCAGUCUUGUUAGGCAUUGUCAGGGAGGUAUAGUUGAUAUCCCUCUAGGCACCCCUCUAGGGUCCACAUCUGGAUUACCUUUUAAACUUAGGGAGAACAAAAAUCAAGUUGCAAGAGAGUACAGAGAAUGGGCAACAGCUCAAUAAGCUUGCCCUUGAGUGGGUUGCCGCUCAGAUCUCAAGUUGGUUUUAGC